GAGAGAGAGAGAGAGAGAGAGAGAGAGAGUUAUUCUUUAUAAUUGUAAGUUACUUGUCUAACCUUCAUUCUUCCCUGUGUGCAUUUACCAGCUCAGAAUGUAGAGGAGACUCUGGAAGAGAAUGUGUCCCCAAAUUAAAAAACUGUGAUGUGACCCUUGGCCAAUUUAACUGUGGCUUAAGCAGUCUUAAAUGUCGAUGCUGUGCCGUUUGUCAAAAUCCUGAACAAUGCAGGGCACCCUCAGAGAAACUUGUAAUGAAGGUGAAUUCGAAGCGAGUGAUCACGGAACAUUCUGCAAAUGCUGUCUUCCCUGUGGUUCUGGAAAUUGCUAUCCUGGACGGUGUGUUCCCUCCGCAGACCUUUGCGACACUGUGUCAGAGUAUGUAUCUGGUGGUUGUGAUUCUCCUGCAUCCGCGUGCACUUGCUGUUACCCUACUUAAUUCAUAUAAAAAGCUCAAGAUAUUAAAGAGGCAGAUUUGAUACAAGUGGGAAUAAAAGCAUCACACAUCUUCCACAAUAUCUGCUUCCUCAUUCCUAAAAAGUAUUAUGUGGAAACAUGUAACCAGGUCUAUAUCAAAAAGUACAUUUUCAUAAAUUGCUAAAUUCAUACAAUUCAAUGUACUGUGCACGUAAAUAAAAUGUGUUCCUCAUGAAAUUAUAUUUUUUUUCUAUAUGGC